rnacentral:rRNA from 1 species
UACGUAGGUGGCAAGCGUUGUCCGGAUUUAUUGGGUUUAAAGGGUGCGUAGGUGGGUAGGUAAGUCAGUGGUGAAAUCUUCGAGCUUAACUCGGAAACUGCCAUUGAUACUAUUUAUCUUGAAUACUUUGGAGGUAAGCGGAAUAUGUCAUGUAGCGGUGAAAUGCUUAGAUAUGACAUAGAACACCAAUUGCGAAGGCAGCUUACUACACAGUCAUUGACACUGAGGCACGAAAGCGUGGGGAUCAAACAGG